rfam:Pan troglodytes isolate Yerkes chimp pedigree #C0471 (Clint) chromosome 7, whole genome shotgun sequence.
GCCGGGCAUGGUGGCUCAUGUCUGUAAUCCCAGCACUUUAGGAGGCAGAGGUGGGUGGAUUACCUGAGGUCAGGAGUUCUAGACCAGCCUGGCCAACAUGGUGAAACCCCAUCUCUA